rnacentral:rRNA from 1 species
UAUGUAGGGCGCAAGCGUUAUCCGGAAUUAUUGGGCGUAAAGAGCUCGUAGGCGGUUUGUCGCGUCUGCCGUGAAAGUCCGGGGCUCAACUCCGGAUCUGCGGUGGGUACGGGGCAGACUAGAGUGUGGUAGGGGAGACUGGAAUUCCUGGUGUAGCGGUGGAAUGCGCAGAUAUCAGGAGGAACACCAAUGGCGAAGGCAGGUCUCUGGGCCACAACUGACGCUGAGGAGCGAAAGCGUGGGGAGCGAACAGG